rnacentral:RNase_P_RNA from 1 species
UAAGUCGGUUAUACGGUCGCGGGGGCAGGGAGAGCCUGUCAAUGAGGAAAGUCCGAGCGUUAUAGAAACAGGGUGCCGGAGAAACCCCGGUGAAGGCGACUUUAAGGAAAGUGCAACAGAAAGUAAACCGCCGAAUUUUCGGUAAGGCUGAAAGGGUGCGGUAAGAGCGCACCGCAUUCACGGUAACGUGAGUGGCAUUGUAAACCCCACCCGACGCAAGAUUGACAAACGGUUUCAUUUGGGAGUUUCACCGAAGCCGUUUAACAAACAUCGCUGGGGGAUAACGGUAACGUUAUUCGUAGAUAAAUGACCGUACACGACAGAACUCGGCUUAUCGACCGUCUUAAAAA